rnacentral:rRNA from 1 species
UACGAAGGGUGCAAACGUUGCUCGGAAUCAUUGGGCGUAAAGCGCACGUAGGCGGCUCUGCAAGUCGGAUGUGAAAUCCCUCGGCUCAACCGAGGACGUGCAUCCGAAACUGCGGAGCUUGAGUAUGGAAGAGGGUCGCGGAAUCCCCGGUGUAGAGGUGAAAUUCGUAGAUAUCGGGGGGAACACCAGUGGCGAAGGCGGCGACCUGGGCCAAUACUGACGCUGAGGUGCGAAAGCGUGGGGAGCAAACAGG